GCUGUCAUCUACGAAUAUUCAUUCAUUAUAUAAAAGAACACAUCUGUUUUAAUAACUACAUCAUUCGUAUUGAAUAUUCAAACAGACAGUAAUGUAUUCACAACGUUUUGCUCUCUUCUUUGUGGUACUCAUUGUUUGCGCUUGGGGCUUGACAACUGCCGACUGGUUGGAUGACUUGAAUGAUGGCACCAGUCGUCUGUUAUCUACGGUCAAUGAGAAUGCUGCCAAGAUCAAUAGCAUUGCGGAUAAUGUACGAACGAUAGGUAAAAUCUUGGAGAACGCAGAUGAUAGCAAUGCAGAUGAAUAAAUAAUUUUAGACUUAAUAAAUAAAAAAAGAUAAACAUU